AGAGUUUGAUCCUGGCUCAGAUUGAACGCUGGCGGCGUGCCUAACACAUGCAAGUCGAGCGGUAACAGGUGUAGCAAUACAUGCUGACGAGCGGCGGACGGGUGAGUAACGCUUGGGAAUCUGCCUGUUAGUGGGGGACAACCCGGGGAAACUCGGGCUAAUACCGCAUACGCACUACGGUGGAAAGCCGGGGACCGCAAGGCCUGGCACUGAUGGAUGAGCCCAAAUCGGAUUAGCUAGUUGGCGGGGUAACGGCCCACCAAGGCUACGAUCCGUAGCUGGUCUGAGAGGACGAUCAGCCACACCGGAACUGAGACACGGUCCGGACUCCUACGGGAGGCAGCAGUGGGGAAUAUUGGACAAUGGGCGAAAGCCUGAUCCAGCGACGCCGCGUGGGUGAAGAAGGCCUGCGGGUUGUAAAGCCCUUUCGGUAGGGACGAAAACCUUCGACUUAACACGUCGAGGGAUUGACUUAACCUACAUAAGAAGCACCGGCUAACUCUGUGCCAGCAGCCGCGGUAAU
rnacentral:rRNA from 1 species